rnacentral:rRNA from 1 species
UACGGAAGGUGCGAGCGUUAAUCGGAAUUACUGGGCGUAAAGCGCGCGUAGGUGGAUUGGUCAGUCAGAUGUGAAAGCCCCGGGCUCAACCUGGGAACUGCACCUGAUACUGCCAAUCUAGAGUACGGUAGAGGGUAGUGGAAUUUCCUGUGUAGCGGUGAAAUGCGUAGAUAUAGGAAGGAACACCAGUGGCGAAGGCGACUGCCUGGACCGAUACUGACACUCAGAUGCGAAAGCGUGGGGAGCAAACAGG